rnacentral:ncRNA from 1 species
UUAAAUUAUUUCUGGUUUUUUAUUUAUUAUGAAUUUAAAUUAUAUGUAAAUUUUUUAAUAAAAUAAAAUUAAAUUUUAAAUAAAUUUUUUUUUGAUAUUUAUAUAAUAAUUAAUUUUAAAUUAAAUUUUAAAUAAAUUUAAAUUUAGUAAUAUUAAUUUAUUUUUAAUAAAAAUUGUGCCAGCAAUUGCGGUUAAACAAUUAAUGAAAAUAAAUAAAAUUUUUAAAUUUUAAAUGAAUUAAAAAAUUAUAUACUAAAAAGUUUAAUUAAUUAGGUAAAAUUAAAUAAUUAAAUUAAUUUUAAAGAAUUUUUAAUUUUUAAAAAAAUUAUUUUUUAAACUAGGAUUAGAUACCCUAUUAUAACAAUUGAUAAUUAAAAAAUUUGAAAUUGGACUAGUAAAAUUAAAAAUUUGAAAAUUAAAGAAUUUGACGGUAUUUAAAUCAAUUUAGAGGAAUUUGUUUAGUAAUUGAUAAUCCACAAUUAAAUUUACUUAUUUUAAUAUUUGUAUAUCGUUGUUAUAAAAAUAUUUUUUAAUAAAUAAUAAUAUUUAAAAAUUUAGAUUUAAAUUUAUAUCAAAUCAAGAUACAGUUUAUUAAUAAGAAUAAAAAUGAAUUACAAUAAUAUUAAUUUAAUUAUAAUAAUUUAUUUGAAAGAUAAAUUAUUAAAUUGGAUUUAAAUGUAAUUAAUAAGUUAUAUUAUUAAUGAUUAAUGUUUUUAAAUAAGUACAUAUUGCCCGUCACUCUCGUUAAUAAAUUUAUUUUAUAAUUGAGAUAAGUCGUAACAUAGUAGAAGUAUUGGAAAAUGUUUCUAGAAUUAU